rnacentral:rRNA from 1 species
GACGAACGCUGGCGGCGUGCUUAACACACGCAAGUCGAACGGUGAAGGGACCAGCUUGCUGGUUCUGGAUGAGUGGCGAACGGGUGAGUAACACGUGAGUAACCUGCCCCCUUCUUCUGGAUAACCGCAUGAAAGUGUGGCUAAUACGGGAUAUUCUGGGUCUGUCGCAUGGCGGGCCCGGGAAAGAUAUUGCUUCGGUGGGGGAUGGGCUCGCGGCCUAUCAGCUUGUUGGUGGGGUGAUGGCCUACCAAGGCGGUGGCGGGUAGCCGGCCUGAGAGGGUGGACGGUCACACUGGGACUGAGACACGGCCCAGACUCCUACGGGAGGCAGCAGUGGGGAAUAUUGCACAAUGGGCGCAAGCCUGAUGCAGCGACGCCGCGUGAGGGAUGGAGGCCUUCGGGUUGUAAACCUCUUUCGCCAGUGAAGCAGGCCUGCUCCUUGUGGGUGGGUUGACGGUAGCUGGAUAAGAAGCGCCGGCUAACUACGUG